rnacentral:rRNA from 1 species
UACAGAGGUCUCAAGCGUUGUUCGGAUUCAUUGGGCGUAAAGGGUGCGUAGGUGGCGCGGUAAGUCGGGUGUGAAAUUUCGGAGCUUAACUCCGAAACUGCAUUCGAUACUGCCGUGCUUGAGGACUGGAGAGGAGACUGGAAUUUACGGUGUAGCAGUGAAAUGCGUAGAGAUCGUAAGGAAGACCAGUGGCGAAGGCGGGUCUCUGGACAGUGCCUGACACUGAGGCACGAAGGCCAGGGGAGCAAACGGG